GGUCCUAUAGCUCAGUUGGUUAGAGCAACUGACUCAUAAUCAGUAGGUCCCUGGUUCAAGCCCAGGUGGGACCACCA
rnacentral:tRNA from 1 species